rnacentral:rRNA from 1 species
UACGAAAGGGGCUAGCGUUGUUCGGAAUUACUGGGCGUAAAGCGCACGUAGGCGGCCUUGUAAGUUGGGGGUGAAAUCCCGGAGCUAAACUCCGGAACUGCCUUCAAAACUACAAAGCUAGAGGAUGUGAGAGGAUAGUGGAAUUCCGAGUGUAGAGGUGAAAUUCGUAGAUAUUCGGAAGAACACCGGUGGCGAAGGCGACUGUCUGGCACAUUUCUGACGCUGAGGUGAGAAAGCGUGGGGAGCAAACAGG